rnacentral:rRNA from 1 species
CGAACGGGUGAGUAAUGCGUGACCAACCUGCCCCAUGCUCCAGAAUAGCUCUUGGAAACGGGUGGUAAUGCUGGAUGCUCCAACUUGACGCAUGUCUUGUUGGGAAAGUGUUUAGUGGCAUGGGAUGGGGUCGCGUCCUAUCAGCUUGUAGGCGGGGUAAUGGCCCACCUAGGCUUCGACGGGUAGCCGGCCUGAGAGGGCGGACGGCCACAUUGGGACUGAGAUACGGCCCAGACUCCUACGGGAGGCAGCAGUG